UACGUAGGGCGCAAGCGUUAUCCGGAAUUAUUGGGCGUAAAGAGCUCGUAGGCGGUUUGUCGCGUCUGCCGUGAAAGUCCGGGGCUCAAUUCCGGAUCUGCGGUGGGUACGGGCAGACUAGAGUGAUGUAGGGGAGACUGGAAUUGGCAGUGUAGCAGUGAAAUGCGUAGAGAUUGCCAGGAACACCAAUGGCGAAGGCAGCUUGCUGGGCUUUUUCUGACACUGAGGGACGAAAGCGUGGGGAGCGAACAGG
rnacentral:rRNA from 1 species